rnacentral:rRNA from 1 species
AGAGUUUGAUCCUGGCUCAGAUUGAACGCUGGCGGCAGGCCUAACACAUGCAAGUCGAACGGUAGCACAGAGAAGCUUGCUUCUUGGGUGACGAGUGGCGGACGGGUGAGUAAUGUCUGGGAAACUGCCCGAUGGAGGGGGAUAACUACUGGAAACGGUAGCUAAUACCGCAUAAUGUCGCAAGACCAAAGAGGGGGACCUUCGGGCCUCUUGCCAUCGGAUGUGCCCAGAUGGGAUUAGCUAGUAGGUGGGGUAACGGCUCACCUAGGCGACGAUCCCUAGCUGGUCUGAGAGGAUGACCAGCCACACUGGAACUGAGACACGGUCCAGACUCCUACGGGAGGCAGCAGUGGGGAAUAUUGCACAAUGGGCGCAAGCCUGAUGCAGCCAUGCCGCGUGUAUGAAGAAGGCCUUCGGGUUGUAAAGUACUUUCAGCGGGGAGGAAGGCGAUACGGUUAAUAACCGUGUCGAUUGACGUUACCCGCAGAAGAAGCACCGGCUAACUCCGUGCCAGCAGCCGCGGUAAUACGGAGGGUGCAAGCGUUAAUCGGAAUUACUGGGCGUAAAGCGCACGCAGGCGGUCUGUCAAGUCGGAUGUGAAAUCCCCGGGCUCAACCUGGGAACUGCAUCCGAAACUGGCAGGCUAGAGUCUUGUAGAGGGGGGUAGAAUUCCAGGUGUAGCGGUGAAAUGCGUAGAGAUCUGGAGGAAUACCGGUGGCGAAGGCGGCCCCCUGGACAAAGACUGAC